UACGGAGGGUGCAAGCGUUAUCCGGAUUUACUGGGUUUAAAGGGUGCGUAGGUGGGUCUGUAAGUCAGUGGUGAAAUCUCCGAGCUUAACCCGGAAACUGCCAUUGAUACUAUAGAUCUUGAAUUAUCUGGAGGUAAGCGGAAUAUGUCAUGUAGCGGUGAAAUGCUUAGAUAUGACAUAGAACACCAAUUGCGAAGGCAGCUUACUACGGAUCGAUUGACACUGAGGCACGAAAGCGUGGGGAUCAAACAGG
rnacentral:rRNA from 1 species